rnacentral:rRNA from 1 species
UACGUAGGGGGCUAGCGUUGUCCGGAAUCAUUGGGCGUAAAGGGCGUGUAGGCGGUCCGGUAAGUCCGCUGUGAAAGUCGGGGGCUCAACCCUCGAAUGCCGGUGGAUACUGUCGGGCUAGAGUGCGGAAGAGGCGAGUGGAAUUCCUGGUGUAGCGGUGAAAUGCGCAGAUAUCAGGAGGAACACCUAUUGCGAAGGCAGCUCGCUGGGACGUAACUGACGCUGAGACGCGAAAGCGUGGGGAGCAAACAGG